UAGCGGCGGACGGGUGAGUAAUGCUUAGGAAUCUGCCUAUUAGUGGGGGACAACGUUCCGAAAGGAACGCUAAUACCGCAUACGUCCUACGGGGGAAAGCAGGGGAUCUUCGGACCUUGCGCUAAUAGAUGAGCCUAAGUCGGAUUAGCUAGUUGGUGGGGUAAAGGCCUACCAAGGCGACGAUCUGUAGCGGGUCUGAGAGGAUGAUCCGCCACACUGGGACUGAGACACGGCCCAG
rnacentral:rRNA from 1 species